rnacentral:rRNA from 1 species
UACGUAGGGUGCAAGCGUUGUCCGGAAUUAUUGGGCGUAAAGAGCUCGUAGGCGGUCUGUUGCGUCGGCUGUGAAAACCCGGGGCUCAACCCCGGGCCUGCAGCCGAUACGGGCAGACUAGAGUUCGGCAGGGGAGACUGGAAUUCCUGGUGUAGCGGUGAAAUGCGCAGAUAUCAGGAGGAACACCGGUGGCGAAGGCGGGUCUCUGGGCCGAUAUUGACGCUGGAGGAGCGAAAGCAUGGGGAGCGAACAGG